rnacentral:rRNA from 1 species
CUGGCGGCAUGCCUUACACAUGCAAGUCGAACGGCAGCAUGGAAGAGCUUGCUCUUCUGAUGGCGAGUGGCGAACGGGUGAGUAAAGCAUCGGAACGUACCGUGUAGUGGGGGAUAACGUAGCGAAAGUUACGCUAAUACCGCAUAUUCUGUGAGCAGGAAAGCAGGGGAUCGCAAGACCUUGCGCUGAUUGAGCGGCCGAUAUCAGAUUAGCUAGUUGGUGGGGUAAAGGCUCACCAAGCCAACGAUCUGUAGCUGGUCUGAGAGGACGACCAGCCACACUGGAACUGAGACACGGUCCAGACUCCUACGGGAGGCAGCAGUGGGGAAUUUUGGACAAUGGACGCAAGUCUGAUCCAGCCAUUCCGCGUGCAGGAUGAAGGCCCUCGGGUUGUAAACUGCUUUUGUACGGAACGAAAAGGCUUCCAUUAAUACUGGGAGCUCAUGACGGUACCGUAAGAAUAAGCACCGGCUAACUACGUG